GACGAACGCUGGCGGCGUGCCUAAUACAUGCAAGUCGAACGAGUGGCGGACGGGUGAGUAACACGUGGGAACCUACCCAUCAGAGGGGGAUAACACUUGGAAACUGUAGCUAAUACCGCGUACCAUAGGAUGAGCCCAAGUGGGAUUAGGUAGUUGGCGGGGGAAAGGCGCACCAAGCCGACGAUCUCUAUCUGGUCUGAGAGGAGGACCAGCCACACGGGGACUGAGACACGGCCCAGACUCCUACGGGAGGCAGCAGUGGGGAAUAUGGCGCAAUGGGGGCAACCUGACGCAGCCAUGCCGCGUGAAUGAAGAAGGCCUUCGGGUUGUAAAGUUCUUUCGGUAGCGAGGCGUUAACUACAGAAGAAGCACCGGCUAACUCCGUGCCAGCAGCCGCGGUAAUAC
rnacentral:rRNA from 1 species